CAAUAUAAUAUCGCGUUGUCAUAGAACCUGCGUGACCCCGAGGGGCGGCCGCUGUCGUCGUCGCAGUACUCCCUGCAGCAGGCAGCCGACGGCAACGUGGUUCUGGUGCCCAAGAUGACGCAGCACCCUGAUCAUCCCAUGAACCGGACAUCCGACGAUGAGAUGGACAGAAAGGCGAAGAAUUUCGAACAGUGACCCCCGCCCCCCGUAUACCCGAGAUGGUAGCAAACAUACGAGCACACAAGACUACAACGCAAUAAUAUAUAAGAUCUAUAGUUAUAUUUUAUCUAUGGUCUCAUGUUACCUUCCAUAGACCACCGAUUAUACCAUCAUAUCAAUCUGAUAGGAAUAGUGCUGUCCUUUUUUAAUCGCAGGGCGUAGAAAGAGAAAGCCACCGUAGGUAUUCUUAAUCUAUGAUGCAGACAGGACAGCAUCUCAAUCUGUCAAAUUAAUAUGAUGCUAUGAAAUUGGCGGGAAUUUUUUGUCUAUGGAAUUUUUUUAAACUGCGAAUUCGUUAUCUAGAUAAUUGCGAUAAUAAGAUAUUUGAAUUUAUUUUUGGAAUUUAAAAGGGCCCAUCUUUAAACUGUACCUGCAUACCUGAUUUAUUGCCUUAUAUUUUAACUAACGACAUUUAAACUAUCCAAUUAAAUGAAUCCCGAAAAUAAAAUUAAAUAUUUAUUAUUAAAAAUAUAAAAGUUUAAAAUUAAUUAAUACACCAAAAUGUAAUCCAAUAGUCCGUUUUUAAUAAUAUUGACAACAAAAUAAACAAGUCGAAUUAAUAUUGUCAAACAAAUAUGAACCUUAUUUUUAGUUGAACCCUAUUUGUGCAGUUAAGCUGCACAAUACUGCUAUUUGUACAUUUAUUAAUAUUUUUGUCAGACAAUCCACUUCGCAAUUGUCUUGGUAGUGAAUUCCCAGUGAUUCCCUUACGUAUGGUCUCAUUUUAAAGUUUUCCAUAGACAGCGCGGUUUUUAUGAUUGUCUAUGGUUAACUUUAAAAGAUAUUCUGUUGUCUUCAAUGGUCUCUGACAGGUCAGGUUAUGUUAUAUCAAAGUUUAGACCAUCUGCCUACUUAAUAAGAAAGACGGAUAAAAACGCAGAGAUUUUGUUUUUUAUGCAAGGUAAAAGGCAACGGUACAAAACCCAUACAGCCUUCCUGUUCUUAAUAUCGUCAUAGUCGUAGAAUACCGACGGAUCUGACAAAUAUUACGUAUAAAGAUCCGUCAGUAUUCUACGACUGUGACGAUAUGUUUGUAAACAAAUUAGUUGCCAGUUUAAAAACUUAAAGGUAUAAAAAAUAUUAACUAGUAUACCAUGCCGUCUUUCUUUAAAAAACAAAUAGCAGGUCUAGUUCUGACGGUGCUUCUAGCGGUUUUUCUUUCAUAUACACGUCUCGAAAUUGUUUUAACAUUAUUUAUUUGUGAUAAUAAAAAAUAUUCCAUUUUUGUUAGUGUCUCUUAGUUGUAAAGUUGGCAUUGGUCUCGCAACAUCAAAUUCUGCUCGCGUUUUCGCUUGUAACAUCGACAUAUAGUUUUUAAUGGCAUACAUACAUUUGUUUAAAUUCAUACAUACAUAAAUAUUUGUCUGCAUUUGAAAUUGAAUUAAAAUAACAAUGCAUAAGGUCCUAUUUCAUGUAACAAGCGAUAAGUGUCAAUUUUCUAUAAUUCUUUCUUUAUUACAAUAAUAAUUUUAUAAACAUCCCACUGUUGGGCAUAGCUUUCAUAAUAAUAGUCAAAAUAAUAGGGGCAUAUAAAUUUUCUAUUAACACGAUUUCACUUCAAGCGUGUGUGAUCUUUGACAUAACAAAACAAAAAAAAAUGUACUUAUUAAAAAAAGAAAAAACUUAGCCACUUCUAAUUUAUCAUACGAAUAAAAAAAAUAUAUAUGUCGAUGGUUAUUUAGUACUAUAAUACAGAAAUGACUGAUAUAAAAUAAAAAAAAAA
rnacentral:lncRNA from 1 species